CUACGGGAGGCUCCAGUGAGGAAUAUUGCACAAUGGGGGGAACCCUGAUGCAGCAACGCCGCGUGGAGGAUGACGCAUUUCGGUGUGUAAACUCCUUUUAUAUGUCAAGAAAAUGACGGUAGCAUAUGAAUAAGCACCGGCUAACUCCGUGCCAGCAGCCGCGGUAAUAGCGGAGGGUGCAAGCGUUACUCGGAAUCACUGGGCGUAAAGGACGCGUAGGCGGGUUGGAAAGUCAGGUGUGAAAUCCUACAGCUUAACUGUAGAACUGCACUUGAAACUUCUAAUCUAGAGUAUGGGAGGGGGAGAUGGAAUUAGUGGUGUAGGGGUAAAAUCCGUAGAUAUCACUAGGAAUACCUAAAGCGAAGGCGAUCUCCUGGAACAUUACUGACGCUAAGGCGUGAAAGCGUGGGGAGCAAACAGGAUUAGAUACCCGGGUAGUC
rnacentral:rRNA from 1 species